UGACCUCAAAUCAGGCAAGACUACCCGCUGAACUUAAGCAUAUC
rnacentral:rRNA from 2 species